CCUACGGGUGGCAGCAGUGGGGAAUAUUGCACAAUGGGGGAAACCCUGAUGCAGCGACGCCGCGUGAGUGAAGAAGUAUUUCGGUAUGUAAAGCUCUAUCAGCAGGGAAGAAAAAAGACGGUACAUGACUAAGAAGCCCCUGCUAACUACGUGCCAGCAGCCGCGGUAAUACGUAGGGGGCAAGCGUUAUCCGGCUUUACUGGGUGUAAAGGGAGCGUAGACGGCGCGGCAAGUGUGAAGUGAAAGGCCGGGGCUUAACGCCUGAACUGCUUUGGAAACUGCCAUGCUAGAGUGCUGGAGAGGUAAGUGGAAUUCCUGGUGUAGCGGUGAAAUGCGUAGAUAUUGGGAGGAACACCAGUGGCGAAGGCGGCUUACUGGACAGUAACUGACGUUGAGGCUCGAAAGCGUGGGGAGCAAACAGGAUUAGAUACCCGGGUAGUC
rnacentral:rRNA from 1 species